GGGUGUGAUCAUACCAGCAUUAAGGCAUCCGAUCCCAUCAGAACUCCGCAGUUAAGCGUUCUUGGGCCAGAGUAGUACUUGGAUGGGUGACCUCUUGGGAUGUCCUCGUGUUCCACCCA
rnacentral:rRNA from 1 species